CCUCAAUCUAUAUAUUAUAAUAAUAUUUGUUUUUGUUACACAAAUGUUAUUUUUACUCAAAUAUCGCAUCAUGUAAAAUUAUGUUAGAACUAUUGAAUACAUUAAUGACCAGAUAAUAUUAAUUAAAAAAAAAACCGGACAUACAUCGUCUCAUGGGUAGGCCAUUGUUGUAGGUGAGAAGUUUGGAAGGUACCUACUUAUAUCCUAUACGUCAAUUCUGAGCAGAGUUCGUUAAACUAAUAAAGUUACACGAUAUCAAAAAAUCAGAGCACUUUUGUAACCCGAGAAUACAAAACACAUCUUAAUAAAACGAAUAACUACAUUCAGAACUUGUAAUAUUAUAAUAAUAAUAAUUUUAUGUAGUAAAAUCUUACCAAAAACGUUAUACAAUUUCCGAUCCGUGAUGUUUAGUAUUUCCUAUCGAUCAAUAAUCAGUAAUAAUAUUAUAAUGGCAUUAUAAUAGCGGUAUUAUUAUUAAAUACCAAGAUGCAGAUACCCAAUAAAUACCUUAGCUACAUCGUUAUACCAAUUUUCUAUUUUUGUAGCAAAUUUAUCGGACUAGCACGUCAAUAAUUUAACUUAUCCGCGACCACUACACUGACCUUUCUGAACUCCCGGUACCAUUAUAUCGAUUUUACGAAAAGUUGGUUUUUUUUUGCUAUGGUUCUCUUGCUGAAAAUUGAAAUUUUGUACCAGGAGUUGUAGAAGUAACACGAGCACAACCAGUUUCCACAAAAAUUAAUUUACUCUUUUCCACAAAAAGAGAUUUGAUCAAUUUUCUCGCCAAGAACUUUAAAAACCUAACCUUCAUUUGAUUCAACAUUUAUAUAAUAAUAAUCAAAUCUAAGUUUGAAAGUAUUUAUUGGACGUUCAUGUUUUGAACAUUCGAAAGACCGUUUAAAUCAAGAAUCAUUAUAAUAGUCACCAGCCAUUGCACAUCAUAUAUUAUUUGAUCGGCUAUUUUCACGGUCGACACUCGGCUGUAAUAUUUUCGGCUUAAAUACAAUAAGGAAUAAAGAUAUAUACAUGAUGAACAUCAUUAAUACAAGAACAUAAAGUAGGGCAAACAUAAAUAAGUUAUUAGAAGAAACACAAGGUCGAGGGGAUAUAACACCCUCAUCUCUCCUCCACCCUAAUCUGGUUUCACUUGCAUCAGUGAACGAAACCGACGUUCUAUAUACUAUAACCGUUCGGUCAUAGAAUAUAGGGUUGCAGUUUUUCUAUAUUACAGUGGUACCUAAUCGACUAAUAUCUUUUUUGGUGAAAAAGACAAGUUCAUUUUGGUGGAAACGGGUCGUGUUGGACUUUUCUUUUCAAACCACGGUUGCCUAUCUAUAACUGUGAUUUAGAGUCGUUCUCACCGACAUAAACGUCAUAACGGAGUUCAUAAAAUAACUGGGAGGCCGUCAAAAUCUUAAACAGCAAAUAUUUGAACGGCGAAUUCUUAAAUAGGCUAAUUUAUAUCCCUUAGAAAAUAAUCUAAUAGGUAUUGUCGUUUCAAUAAUUUACUGUACAAGAUUUUUCUGUGCAACAUUUUGCCGUUCAAGAAUUUGACUUAAACCCAGAUAACUGAACAAUCACGGUUGGUCAUUAACCAUAAAAUCAAAUAAACAAAAGCAUUUAUGUGGGUGAAAAUGCCUUUGAUAUACAAUAUCAAGUAUCAAUAUACGAGUCGUUGCUCAUCCGGAAUUUUCCCGGAUUUUAUUAUAUGUUUUCACCGUAAUUCUUUAGACUUUGUUUGGAGACGGUCACGAAUUGCAUACGUAAAAAAGCGUAAUUCACAAACAGCU